GAGCCGUACAAUGUAGUUGCCAAGGUAACAUCCUGCUGAUCAGAAACGGAUGGCAAUCGAGGGAGCAUGAAACAGAAUCGCUCUCCAUCUUCUCUCUCUGUAAGAUGUGGAUGUCUGAGAAGCAGACAGAAGCAGGCAGCGAGUCCUUCCCCAUGUGGAGAGACCCAGUGGGACCUACUCAACUGGCAACACACGGAAGUCACCAUUUAAUCUUCCUAUUUGCUAGCGAUGAGUCAAUGAACUCUGAUAGCCGCUGCCCUGAGCUAGCAUCCAGGGAGCUGUGGAUGAGCUAUUUGAUAGCUGAAUUUUAGUCAAGGGAUUUUAUUUUACAUGCAAGGGGUUCUGGUGACAGUCGUGGGGAAGUAACUGAUGGAGCUGACCAACCUAAGGCAGAGUGGGCGGCCUUUGCAACACGAGCAUCCAGAGAGAGGCGUGAUCCGGAAUAAUUUUCUCUUGGUGCAAACCGCUGUUAUCAGAAUUGUGCCCUAGGUAUUCACCAUGUAUUUUAAUAUUGAAGAAUUCUCUAACGUAAAGUGACAGUGCAUUGACUGAAAAGUAAAUGGUGGAGUCACAUCUCCUCUCCCUUAUAUCUCGGUACGUGAGUUCACAUGCAUUUUUAUGCUUCUGAAUCUUUGCCGGUAUUAUCAAAAGACCUUAUCAGACUGGAUAAAUAUCAGUCUCUAAAGCUCCGUCCAGACAGCUUCUUCCCAUGAUGUUCUUCUCCAAAUUGAAAUAUAAUAAAAUAUACCUGGGUUAUUAUUUAUAA